rnacentral:rRNA from 1 species
AUUACCUACGGGGCGCAGCAGUGAGGAAUAUUGGUCAAUGGCCGGAAGGCUGAACCAGCCAAGUCGCGUGAGGGACGACUGCCCUAUGGGUUGUAAACCUCUUUUAUAAGGGAAGAAUAAAUGCUACGUGUAGCAUGAUGCCUGUACCUUAUGAGUAAGCAUCGGCUAACUCCGUGCCAGCAGCCGCGGUAAUACGGAGGAUGCGAGCGUUAUCCGGAUUUAUUGUGUUUAAAGGGUGCGUAGGCGGUUUUUUAAGUUAGUGGUUAAACGUCGGGGCUUGACCUUGAUUUGGCAUUAACACUGUA